GACGAACGCUGGCGGCGUGCUUAACACAUGCAAGUCGAACGGUAAGGCCCUUCGGGUACACGAGUGGCGAACGGGUGAGUAACACGUGGGUGAUCUGCCCUGCACUUCGGGAUAAGCCUGGGAAACUGGGUCUAAUACCGGAUAGGACUCCUGGCUUCAUGGUUGGGGGUGUAAAGCUUUUGCGGUGUGGGAUGGGCCCGCGGCCUAUCAGCUUGUUGGUGGGGUAAUGGCCUACCAAGGCGACGACGGGUAGCCGGCCUGAGAGGGUGACCGGCCACACUGGGACUGAGAUACGGCCCAGACUCCUACGGGAGGCAGCAGUGGGGAAUAUUGCACAAUGGGCGGCAAGCCUGAUGCAGCGACGCCGCGUGAGGGAU
rnacentral:rRNA from 1 species